AAAUUGAAGAGUUUGAUCAUGGCUCAGAUUGAACGCUGGCGGCAGGCCUAACACAUGCAAGUCGAACGGUAACAGAAAGCAGCUUGCUGCUUUGCUGACGAGUGGCGGACGGGUGAGUAAUGUCUGGGAAACUGCCUGAUGGAGGGGGAUAACUACUGGAAACGGUAGCUAAUACCGCAUAACGUCGCAAGACCAAAGAGGGGGACCUUCGGGCCUCUUGCCAUCGGAUGUGCCCAGAUGGGAUUAGCUUGUUGGUGGGGUAACGGCUCACCAAGGCGACGAUCCCUAGCUGGUCUGAGAGGAUGACCAGCCACACUGGAACUGAGACACGGUCCAGACUCCUACGGGAGGCAGCAGUGGGGAAUAUUGCACAAUGGGCGCAAGCCUGAUGCAGCCAUGCCGCGUGUAUGAAGAAGGCCUUCGGGUU
rnacentral:rRNA from 1 species